rnacentral:lncRNA from 1 species
UCCUAUUCCACUUUCUCAGAACACAGUCACUAAAAAAAAUAUCAGAUGAUUUCCAUCAGUUGGAAGAUCUUAAUCAAAGUGAAUUCUGUGUCUUCACAGGAAUACAAACCUGCAGAUGUGUUUAUGUGAGAGAGAAAAAUACGAAAGAGAAAAAAAUGGACAAAAAUAGUGUGUGUGUGUGUGUGUAUAUGUAUGUGUGCAGUAGUUUAGCAUGUUAUACCAGUGGGACAGUAUAAAACAAUGCAGCAUCACAAUAACUGAACCUCAUAUUUAUCACCCGCAGUAUCAGCCGUGUUGUGUGUGUGUGUGUGUGUGUGUGUGUGUGUGUCUGUGUGUCCUCUCAUUAAUCACAGCGGUGUUGCUGCUCCAGCGGGACGCUGUGAUCUCAGGUGGGGAACCAUCUGUUGCUCAGCACCUUUUUCUUCUUCUGUGGCUCCCAGGGGGAGGAGUUCAUGGACAUUUCACUCUGUGAAUCUGAAGUGAGUCUACAUCCAGAAGCUCUUUGCCGAGAUCCUCCAUGAUGGCUCCUGAGAACAGACUACACAUUAAAAAAUCUAACAAAGCUGCUCAAGUAACAGGAAGUAAGUUGUUGUUGCUGCUCAAUAACUCCCGCUCAAUUUAGGGAUGCAUCAUUCUCAGGGGAGCUUCAAGAGAAUGUAUUGUGAUAUGUUUUCUGAAAUUUAAAAUCAAUGUCAGACUUCUAUCAGAGCUCUGUAAUAUUUUUUUUUAAAAGUGAUCAGUUUUUAUAUUUAGCUAGACCACUAGAAUUCUGAUUGACUGUUGUUGUUUCAGGGGUUUGUCCAGCAGAUGUCACCAUUUUUACUUGCUACGAAACAGUGAUGCCUCUACAACACAACAUCAAGUUUGAGUUCUAUAGACAGCUUCUUUUUUUCCCCCACCAUGGCUGUUGUCAUGUUCACAAGAACUCAUAAAAGUUGAACUCACUUCAUUGGCUCAGUGUGACUCAGUAAAACACUGUGAUUUCCCCUCUUCUUCUAAUCAAAGUUUGAGUGUUGCAUUACUG